UCCCGGGAGGACUAGUGGUUAGGCCACAGCGCUCUCACCGCUGCAGCCCAGGUUUGAUUCCAGGUCAGGGAA
rnacentral:tRNA from 1 species